rnacentral:lncRNA from 1 species
UGGGAUUUACUUUAUCAAGUCCAAGAACCAAGGAAUUCUAGAAUAUGUUGAUUGAGAAUAAGCUGAAAAUAGUCAAGGAGAAAUAAAAUAAACCAAAUCAAUCAUUUACAAAAGAUAUUGUACUAACUAUUGAUUUUAUUAAUAAAUUCACUAUUAUACCAAAUGUGUCAUUUACAAAAGAUACUAUACCAAAUCAAUCCAUUUAUUUAUCAAUAAAUCAAACCAAAUCAAUCAUUUAUCCAUAAAUUCGCAAUCCAAAAAUGGGUAAUUCAGUAACAUCUCUAAGGCCAAAGCUAUCAUAUUGUUAGAUAUAAUUAGAUUUAAACAUUAGUUUAACUAGUUCAAAUUUUAAAUUUAAAAAAUAAACUUAAACAAGAAAUAAAAUAUAUUUUUCUAAAUAGAUCAAACAUAAGAUUUUUAUAUUUGAAUCCAACCUUUGUUUUAUACUGUCUAACACUUUUUCAAAAACACCACAACACAGUCUACAAGCAAAUAAAUCUAAGAAAACAUUUCUGCUAAAUUAAAAAAAAAACAAUAGGAAGGUAAGAUUUUUUUUCUUUUUUUAAAACAUAAAAUUGAACUAUUAUUUAGAAAACAUACGGCAAACAAAAACAAAAACAUCAAAUUGAACUAUUAUUUCGAAAACAUGCGGCAAAAACAAAAAAAAACAAAACCAUGGCCCAAACAUAAGUCUCUACUCCAUUCCACCAACAAACACAACAAAAAUCAGGUUAGACUUUUGAAAACAUUAGAGAAAAUAGUACAAAAAGCUUAAAAUAAAGGUUUUGGUUAUGCCUUAGCUAGUUUUGAGCUGAAAAGGAUGGGGAGAGAUGUCGGAGGAGAGUUAACAGAAAGUCUUGAUGAAAAUAAGAAUGAGUUGUUUCAAACUGGUUUGAGAGAGGCCACAGUUGACUGGAAACUUAUCAGGGAUUGAAUAAUGCAUACAUUUAUAUUAGUUUUGAUAGGAAAAUGGAGAAACAACCGUUGAAGAUGAGGGCCGUUCCAACAGAAGAUGAAGGAUCUGCUUGUUCCUCUUGUAGGAACUUACACUUAGGUCCAGAACUUGAAAGAAAAGAAAAGGAGAAAUUGGAACACAUGUAUGAAAACGUCAGGCAGCCUUGGUAGUAAUGCAACAAAUAAGAGUACUAUUGGUUUCAAAAACAAUCAGCACUAGCAAGUAAAUUUGACCAGAAAAACAGGCAAACAUUAACUGUAAUAUCUAAGGAAAAAAUAAUACAAGAUUAUAGUUUAAGAUAAAAGAUAGCUGAUUUGUAAUGCCAAAAUAUUUCAAAAAGCCAAAUACAUGGUCAAACAAGAACUGAUUAGGAUAAUGAGAACUUUUCGAAUGUGCCAAAACAAAGACACAAAUAGCCUGGGCAGCAAUGCAUUAAUCAAACUUAGGAAUAUUAAAUCAAGACCACUAACAAUCAAUUCCAAAAUGAUCUUUAAGGAACCAUAAACAUGAAACGACAACACAAACACAAAUCCGUAAACAUGCAUAGGAUUCAUUAAAAGAAAAAAGUACAUAUGCGUUUGUGUUUGUGUGUGUGUGUGCAUGUAUACAUAUUUACAGUCUAGUACUUUUAGUUGUUCCAAGGAAAAAGAUCAAAAGGAAACAAAUAAUAAUGUAAACUGAAAGUCUAAAAAAUAACCUUUACUCAUACUUCACAAUCCAAACUGUAAAGCAAUUGAAACCCCCAUUUUAAGUAUUAUCCAGUUUGGCAAAACAAUCUUCUAAUUAUUUGCAGAAAAAAAGAAUAGAAAUCGAAAAGAUGAGACUUCAUCAUCAAUCAAUCAAAAUUCAAACUGUUUACCAAGUAAACCACUAAAUUCAGCAGGAAAAGAAAAUCAAAGCAACAUCAUUUAUCAAUUAAAAUCAUCAAUUUUUUAAGGAUAAAACACAUUAACAUGGCAUAUAGCUAAAUUAAAAACAACCCAAAAGCUUACAUUGUAUCGUCAUGAUAGUUUAUUCCACCACUAAUUCAAUUCUAUUAGUUUCAAUCCAUUGUUUAGCUAAUUCUUCAAAAACCCAAUUUUCAAAACCUUAAAUUUAUUUCCAAUUUUGCAUAAAAAAGUUCAUAUAUUUUUUUCAAGGACAAAACACAUGAAACACGAAAUAUAGCUAAAUAAAACGACCCCAGAAGCUUACAUUUCAAUGCCUCCAAAUUUAUCCCAAUUUUGCAUCGAAAAUUCAAUUUUUUUAAGGAUAAAACAAUGAAAUAUGAAAUAUAGCUAAAUUAAAAGAACCCCGAAGUUUACAUUACAGCACAAAUAAAACACUCACAGAAAAGUUUUUCUUUUUAAGAAAAUAAAAGAAAAAAUACUUAAAAAAUGGGAAAAGAAAAAGUGAUGGAGCACUAACCAUGAAAUUGGGGUUUGGUGAAUAAGCUUGGAGGAGUAAUCAGAUUCCACUGUAGCUAAGGCUCCAAUCUACUGUUAUUCACCUCAAAAUGAAAUUAGUCAAAUAAUAAACCACAAUUAGAAUCUAAGGGAAAGAACAUGCAAGUAUUCAAUCCUCGUGAAAUGCAGAUGAACAUUAAGCCCAAACAACAAUUAGAAUCUAUCACACCCAAAUCGGCAAAACACGAUCUUAAUCUUAAGACAUAAAUUAUGCAACAAAUCGCCGAAAACAUUGAAGAGCUGGGCAGGUGCCGAAAACAUUUUCAAAAAAAAAAAAGAUCAAACAGUUUCGUAAAUUCAUAAAUGGGAUACCUUUUAAGCUUUUAAGCACCGGAGGGUUGCCUCAAAGCAGUAGCAGAGGAGGGUUGCCUGGAUGAGAAAUCAAAUUUCUGUUCUUUUCAGCCAAAAGCACGUUUGUGGGAGAAAGAAAGUUUGUGUGGGAGAAGACGACAGGUUAAUUUAGUCAAUUUUCAGCCAAAAGCACUUCAAGCUAAAGAAAAGGAGAAAUUUUUAGCUUUUCAUCUGGAGAGAAGUCCAUUUUUAUGGUGAAAUAAUAUGGAGAGAAGGAAGCUGUUCUUCAUUUCUUUUAAGGGAAAAUGACUUUUUCAAUUAAAAGUCCUUCUAAAAUGGGCAAAAGAACGGGGCCUAAGGCAACAAUCGUCAUUCUCCGGAAGUGUCCUAGCCAAAGCAUAUUAAAGCAAAGGCUCUAUAACAUGGAAGCCAGGAUGAAUUGAGCUUUCUCCACUGUGGCUUUCACAAAUAGGAGAAAAUAAUUGGUCCGUUUUAACUUUCUUGAUGAUACAAGAAGCUGAAACAGAUGGGGUCUCAGACGCUGGAACUUGCUUUCUAAACUAGCACCCCAACUCUUCAUCGUUCGAAUUCUCUUUCUCACUGAAUUAAGGGAAUGAAAGAACGGGCCACGGUUGCAGCAAAUAAGAGAAAUGUAUAUUCUUGUUGUCAACCAAUAAUUGAUGGUUUCAGCUUCAAGUUCCUUAAUAGCACUAAACUGAUGAUUGUUGCCUCAGCUCUCAAUAAACCAUAACUUGUUAGCUCCCCGACUCCGUACUUGGACAACCCUCCAACAUUUGAGGAAGGACUUUAAACUUAUAGUGGUUAAAAUGUUCAACAACUAGGGAUGAUUCGAAGUUCUUAAUUUUGUAGCUUAUUCUAAGGAGGAAAAUGAAGUUAGUCUCUUCUUGCAGAUGACUAUUAGAAAUUAUUUUAGGGAAG